AAUUUCCUUAGAUAAAGCUUGUCUGUAAUCUUCACACGUAACAUCAGCUUUCCAGAUACCACAUACCACUUUUUCAAAGUGCUCUGACAAAAUUAAAAACACGUGAAGCUGACAGCUCCCACUACAUUGCUGUGACCAAGAAGGGUAAAGGAAUAGCAUUACUACUUGUUAUUGGGAAAUCCCUAUAUACAUUGACCUCCCUCCUCAACGGACAGAAAAACCUGCAAAAAUGCUCAACCCUUUCUCGCAUUCGAAAAGGCACCCUCAACAUAACCUCUCG
rnacentral:lncRNA from 1 species